rnacentral:rRNA from 1 species
CGGGGGGAGCAAGCGUUGUUCGGAUUUACUGAGCGUAAAGGGCGCGUAGGCGGUCGUGACAAGUCACUUGUGAAAUCUCCGGGCUUAACUCGGAACGGUCAAGUGAUACUGUCGGACUAGAGUACAGAAGGGGCAACUGGAAUUCUCGGUGUAGCGGUGAAAUGCGUAGAUAUCGAGAGGAACACCUGCGGCGAAGGCGGGUUGCUGGGCUGAUACUGACGCUGAGGCGCGAAAGCCAGGGGAGCGAACGGGAUUAGAUACCCCGGUAGUCCUGGCCUUAAACGAUGAAUGCUUGGUGUCUCGGGUUAUAAAGUCCCGGGUGCCGUCGCUAACGCUUUUAGCAUUCCGCCUGGGGAGUACGGUCGCAAGACUG